UCUCCCUGGAAAACGGGUGGUAAUGCCGGAUGCUCCAGUUGAUCGCAUGGUCUUCUGGGAAAGCUUUCGCGGUAUGGGAUGGGGUCGCGUCCUAUCAGCUUGACGGCGGGGUAACGGCCCACCGUGGCUUCGACGGGUAGCCGGCCUGAGAGGGCGACCGGCCACAUUGGGACUGAGAUACGGCCCAGACUCCUACGGGAGGCAGCAGUGGGGAAUAUUGCACAAUGGGCGCAAGCCUGAUGCAGCGACGCCGCGUGAGGGAUGGAGGCCUUCGGGUUGUAAACCUCUUUUAUCGGGGAGCAAGCGAGAGUGAGUUUACCCGUUGAAUAAGCACCGGCUAACUACGUGCCAGCAGCCGCGGUAAUACGUAGGGUGCAAGCGUUAUCCGGAAUUAUUGGGCGUAAAGGGCUCGUAGGCGGUUCGUCGCGUCCGGUGUGAAAGUCCAUCGCUUAACGGUGGAUCCGCGCCGGGUACGGGCGGGCUUGAGUGCGGUAGGGGAGACUGGAAUUCCCGGUGUAACGGUGGAAUGUGUAGAUAUCGGGAAGAACACCA
rnacentral:rRNA from 1 species